rnacentral:rRNA from 1 species
GUGAACGCUGGCGGUAGGCCUAACACAUGCAAGUCGCACGGCAGCACAGUAAGAGCUUGCUCUUACGGGUGGCGAGUGGCGGACGGGUGAGGAAUACAUCGGAAUCUACUUUUUCGUGGGGGAUAACGUAGGGAAACUUACGCUAAUACCGCAUACGACCUACGGGUGAAAGCAGGGGAUCUUCGGACCUUGCGCGAUUGAAUGAGCCGAUGUCGGAUUAGCUAGUUGGCGGGGUAAGGGCCCACCAAAGCGACGAUCCGUAGCUGGUCUGAGAGGAUGAUCAGCCACACUGGAACUGAGACACGGUCCAGACUCCUACGGGAGGCAGCAGUGGGGAAUAUUGGACAAUGGGCGCAAGCCUGAUCCAGCCAUACCGCGUGGGUGAAGAAGGCCUUCGGGUUGUAAAGCCCUUUUGUUGGGAAAGAAAAGCAGCAGGUUAAUACCCCGCUGUUCUGACGGUACCCAAAGAAUAAGCACCGGCUAACUUCGUG